rnacentral:rRNA from 1 species
CCUACGGGUGGCAGCAGUGAGGAAUAUUGGUCAAUGGACGAGAGUCUGAACCAGCCAAGUAGCGUGAAGGAUGACUGCCCUAUGGGUUGUAAACCUCUUUUGUCAGGGAGCAAAGUCACCCACGUGUGGGUUUUGGAGAGUACCUGAAGAAAAAGGAUCGGCUAACUCCGUGCCAGCAGCCGCGGUAAUACGGAGGAAGCGAGCGUUAACCGGAUUUAUUGGGUUGAAAGGGUGCGUAGGCGGGUUAGCAAGUCAGCGGUAAAAGCGUGGGGCUGAACUCCAUCCCGCCGUUGAAACUGGUGGUCUUGAGUGGGCGAGAAGUAUGCGGAAUGCGUGGUGUAGCGGUGAAAUGCAUAGAUAUCACGCAGAACUCCGAGUGCGAAGGCAGCAUACCGGCGCCCGACUGACGCUGAAGCACGAAAGCGUGGGUAUCGAACAGGAUUAGAUACCCUUGUAGUC